GAUGAAGAACGUAGCGAAAUGCGAUAAGUAAUGUGAAUUGCAGAAUUCAGUGAAUCAUCGAAUCUUUGAACGCACAUUGCGCCCCCUGGUAUUCCGGGGGGCAUGCCUGUCCGAGCGUCAUUACAACCCUCAAGCUCAGCUUGGUGUUGGGCCCCGCCGCCCCGGCGGGCCCUAAAGUCAGUGGCGGUGCCGUCCGGCUCCGAGCGUAGUAAUUCUUCUCGCUCUGGAGGUCCGGUCGUGUGCUCGCCAGCAACCCCCAAUUUUUUUCAGGUUGACCUCGGACCAGGUAGGGAUACCCGCUGAACUUAAGCAUAUCAAUAAGCGGAGGA
rnacentral:misc_RNA from 1 species